rnacentral:rRNA from 1 species
AUGACGAGAAUUUUUACCCGGAAACAGUCCGUCCGACCGAUUUGGAGCCACCACUGCAUUCCACAUCUACAUGGAAUAUCCCGCUUCAAGGAACCAACUCAUUCCAUUCCACCACCUCAACCAAGGACCUCAACCAGACACAUCCUUAUUCUUUCUCUGUUUGGGCUUCCCACUGGUAGUACACAACAGGUGAAAGAUGAAUUUAAGCCAACAUCUAUUGACAAGACUCAAGCUGGCUCUCUGCAGAAGAGCAAAGAUAACCGGGUAACUGUGGAAUUUCAUAACAAUCAGCCUGGCAGGCCAAAGGUGGCAUUCGAGGGAAGCCAAGAAGAGUACAAGGAUAAUGAUGGUGUCUUGUUUUUGAUGGUGAGACCUUUCGCUUGGAACGAUUGCACCGGGCAGUCAAGAGAUUAA